rnacentral:rRNA from 1 species
CCGGCACGGGUGAGUAACACGUAUCCAACCUGCCGUCUACUCUUGGACAGCCUUCUGAAAGGAAGAUUAAUACAAGAUGGCAUCAUGAGUCCACAUGUUCACAUGAUUAAAGGUAUUCCGGUAGACGAUGGGGAUGCGUUCCAUUAGAUAGUAGGCGGGGUAACGGCCCACCUAGUCUUCGAUGGAUAGGGGUUCUAAGAGGGAGGUCCCCCACAUUGGAACUGAGACACGGUCCAA